GUGCAGGCGGUUCAGCAAAUCGCUAGAUCUGCGUCCAGGACGGAGCCAGGGCCGGGCGAAGCCUCCUCCGUGCCGGAUCUCCGUAAAAGGGAGCUCCCGAUGAUCCUUUUUGGAUGCCAAGGGAAAGCUGAAGGACCACUGGCAAAAAACCAUCUGCGAUAACUUGAAUUCUAUAUUGAGGCUCUUCUCACGUUUGCAGGCAUGAUUUUCAAUGCUUUGAUAUUUCAAGGAGAUUAUCCUUUUGUGGAUGCAAAAGGAAAGCUGAAGGACCACUGGCAAAAUAAACCCUCUGUGGUAACAUGAAUUCAGACUGGGGUUCUUCUCAUGUUAUGGUGGCUGUUUGUUCCCGCCCUUUUUUCCUGAAGACCCUGCCCGCUUAGCGUCAAGAGCAGCACGUUUUUCUUUUUUGUUGGCCUGGCGUGCUGUUUUCUUUGCACAUGCCGCUCUCUUGGCUGCGGCAGCCUCCUGGUUACGCAGGUUCUGCUCUUGCCUCUGGGCUUCCUCCGCAGCAUGCAUCCGGUUAUGGGCCUGAUUGAAGGCGACGGAGUAGUCUCCGUGAAGCCGGUGCCGUCUGCAGUCUAUGUGGACCUUGUCUUCCGCCAUAACUGUACACAGAGGGACUUGUUAAAGCGUGGUACAAAGAAAUGCAUUCUUUUCUUUACCAUUUGUUUAUGGAAUAGCUCUAUAAGUAACUGCUGUGCUAUUGUGUAUAAUCAGUCUAGAAUAUAGAGAAGCAUGUUAAAUCGGGGUACAGAGAACUGCUGUAUCUUUCUUUCCAUUCAAUAGCUCUUCUAGAAUUAACUGCCCUGCUACUGUGUAUAAUCAUUCUGAAUUGAGAUCCAUUAUAGUCAUGCCAACAGUGAAAACUACCACUGGUUUUGUUA